rnacentral:ncRNA from 1 species
GGCUUGUGGCGACCAAGCGUUCAUAGCGACGUUGAUUUUUGAUCCUUCGAUAUCGGCACUUCCUAUCAUUGCGAAGUAAAAUUCGGGAAGCGUUGGAUUGUUCAUCCGUUAGAAGGGAACGUGAGCUGGGUUUAGACCGUCGUGAGACAGGUU